UUGAUCUUGUAAACUAUAUUGCUGCGCGAUUUUUAUCCAUCUUAUCUUUGCCGACUUAAAUAAUACGGCGCAAAUUAUUUAUUCCAGUGUAGAAAAGUUUGAUAUCAAGAUCUCUGACGCAAAGCCGGAAACGCUCAGAUAUGUUAUUAAUAUACGGAACAUUAAAAUAGAAUGAGAUCAUCACUCCUUCAUUAACAUCGUCACUCACAUUUCUAUCUAGUCAAAGCAUCAUUAAGUCUAUUGUUAAAUCUAGGUAAUAAAAUAUUAAGUCGGUCAAUAAUUGUACGGAAAAUAAAAAAGAGAGGAUACCCAUUGUUCAACAGAAUGUUAAUAAUAAAUUCAAAAUUCUCUUUAUGAAAUUUUGGAUGAGAAAGCCAGAAAACUUUAUCAGUAAGACCACUUAUUGUACCCUUUUUCUGGCAAAAGGAGUGUCUCGCGACUCAAAAUGGAGGUAUCUCCGAGAAAGUCGGUUUGUGAAACCAAUUAAAAUGAAUCAAUCCAUCCUCCAAAAUAAUAGUGACGUCAAGGAAAUUCAAACGAUUGUCGGCACCUUCCUCCAUAGUAAACUGCAAUCUUGUGUGGAACGACAGUUGAAAGUGUCCAGAAUGGUACUAGCAUUGAGGAGGGAGCCGCUAACACAACGUUGUCAACAUAUCUAAAAUAAAAUGGGAGAUCCACAGGAAGAGUCGCGAUGGCCCUUGACUCCAAAUCUUGGAGCGUGAUCUCAGCAAUAAUCGGCGAAAGAGGAGAGCCCAUGGUGCCGAAUGUUUGCUGAUAGCAAACACCGUUGAACAUAAAAAAUGUAGAGUUUAAAACGAGGCAAACUGCCGUUAAAAAUUCAUCGCGAGGUAUCCGACAAUUCUUUCCAAUAUAAUCCCAUCUAUUCAACAGACUAUCAAUCUCCAAGUUGAAUCUCCAUAGUGACACCGUAAAAUUGAAUACUUCGUGUUUAUCGAUUAUUGAAAUCAUGUCUAAAAUUUAAUAGUUUGUUGUUUGUUAGGACUGUUCUUUUCCUCAGUGUAUACGGAUUGUUUUUGUUGAUCACACUAUGACGUCAUCAUUAGCAUUCGAAUCUUUUUGCUUAGUCGGCUAUGUGCGUGCUGAUUAUUCGUCUUCGUUUCUGUUUCGUCUUCUCGAGUCCGAUGUAUCACUCUUUGGGCCUUGCACCGCUUAAAGGGCUACUUGUAUUUGGUUUCCUUCGAGUCCACUUGCCUUGACGAGUUCACGUUCACUCUCUAAGACUUUGCACAAUCACUGAAGAAGGCUCGAACUGAGUCCGAAACGUUUGAGGUCAAUAAAGAAGAAAGAUCGUUUAAUGUGAUCGUUUCAUGGAUUAUUUUUUUCUUCAAAAACACGCCUUACAACUGC